rnacentral:tRNA from 1 species
AAUUAUAAAGUAUAUUGAGUAUUUUUGACUUCCAAUCAAAGGGUCUAAUUUUUUUUAGUAUAAUUA